rnacentral:snRNA from 1 species
UUACUCGCUGGCAGGGCUACCACGCUCACGGCGGCUUUUCCCAGCGAGGCUUAUCCAUUGCACACGGGACGUGCUGACCCCUGCGGUUCCCCCGAAUGUGGGAAACGGCUGCAUGGUUUGUGGUGGGU